GAUGAAGAACGUAGCGAAAUGCGAUAAGUAAUGUGAAUUGCAGAAUUCAGUGAAUCAUCGAAACUUUGAACGCACCUUGCGCCCCUUGGUUAUUCCAAAGGGCAUGCCUGUUUGAGUAUCAUGAACACCUCAACUCUUGUGGUUUCCCACAAUGAGCUUGGACUGUGGAGGUUUUGUUGGCCCUGUGGUCAGCUCCUCUCAAAUGGAUCAGCUUACCGGUGUUUGGUGGCAUUACGGGUGUGAUAACUAUCUACGCUCGUGGUCGUCUCCAAAUAACCUCCAGUGAUGGAGGUUCGCUGGAGCUUAUAAAUGUCUCUCCCCAGUGAAGACAGCCUUUGAACGUUCGAUCUCAAAUCAGGUAGGACUACCCGCUGAACUUAAGCAUAUCAAUAAGCGGAGGA
rnacentral:misc_RNA from 1 species